GUAUAGGUUUGAAUUUAUGGUAGGACUGCCACCCUGAGUCUCUUAUAGUGUCCCAUGCCAGAGCAAACUGUGGCCUUGAAUCAUUGCCUGGCUUCUGCCCACAGGCUGCAGACACUGAAGCAGGUUGCACAAUG